rnacentral:rRNA from 1 species
UGGGGAAUAUUGCACAAUGGGGGGAACCCUGAUGCAGCAACGCCGCGUGAGUGAAGAAGUAUUUCGGUAUGUAAAGCUCUGUCAGCAGGGAAGAAAAUGACGGUACCUGACCAAGAAGCUCCGGCUAAAUACGUGCCAGCAGCCGCGGUAAUACGUAUGGAGCAAGCGUUAUCCGGAUUUACUGGGUGUAAAGGGAGCGCAGGCGGCGGUGCAAGUCCGAUGUGAAAACCCGGGGCCCAACCCCGGGACUGCAUUGGAAACUGCAUGGCUAGAGUGUCGGAGAGGUAAGUGGAAUUCCUAGUGUAGCGGUGAAAUGCGUAGAUAUUAGGAGGAACACCAGUGGCGAAGGCGGCUUACUGGACGAUAACUGACGCUGAGGCUCGAAAGCGUGGGGAGCAAACAGG